rnacentral:rRNA from 1 species
CAACUAAGCUGUCAUAAGCCCAUGAUGUGCCCAAAGCCAACCUAAAAACGAUCCCAGCCCUAAUGACCAAUUAACCGUCACGAAAGCUAGAACACAAACUGGGAUUAGAUACCCCACUAUGCCUAGCCCUAAAUCUUGAUACUUCCCCUACCAAAGUAUUCGCCCGAGAACUACGAGCACAAACGCUUAAAACUCUAAGGACUUGGCGGUGCCCCAAACCCACCUAGAGGAGCCUGUUCUAUAAUCGAUAACCCACGAUACACCCGACCACUUCUUGCCAAGGCAGCCUACAUACCGCCGUCGUCAGUUCACCUCCCCUGAGAGAACAAUAGUGAACACAAUAGCCCCGCCCGCUAAUAAGACAGGUCAAGGUAUAGCCCAUGGAGUGGAAGAAAUGGGCUACACUUUCUAAAAUAGAAAACCACGGAAAGAGAUGUGAAACCACCUCUGGAAGGCGGAUUUAGCAGUAAAGAAGGAUAAUAAAGCCACCUUUAAAACGGCCCUGGGACACGUACAUACCGCCCGUCACCCUCCUCAAAAGCUGUAACCCCAACAUACCUAAUCCCCCAACUAGCUAAAGAUGAGGUAAGUCGUAACAAGGUAAGUGUACCGGAAGGUGUACUUAGCAWCC